rnacentral:rRNA from 1 species
CAGCAGCCGCGGUAAUACAGAGGGUGCAAGCGUUAAUCGGAGUUACUGGGCGAAAAGGGCGCGUAGGUGGAUAUUUUAGUCGGAUGUGAAAUCCCUGGGCUUAACCUAGGAAUUGCAUUCGAUACUGGGUAUCUAGAGUAUGGUAGAGGAAAGUGGAAUUCCCGGUGUAGCAGUGAAAUGCGUAGAUAUCGGGAAGAACAUCAGUGGCGAAGGCGACUUUCUGGACUGAUACUGACACUGAGGCGCGAAAGCAUGGGGAGCAAACAGGAUUAGAGACCCUGGUAGUCCAUGCUGUAAACGAUGAGAACUAGGUGUUGGGGAGCGUGUCUCCCUUGUACCGUAGCUAACGCGAUAAGUUCUCCGCCUGGGGAGUACGACCGCGAGGUUAAAACUCAAAGGAAUUGACGGGGGCCCGCACAAGCGGUGGAGCAUGUGGUUUAAUUCGAUGCAACGCGAAGAACCUUACCUACUUUUGAAAUCCCUGGAAUCUUUUAGAGAUA